AGUCGAGGUCUCCGGUAACGUAGGAUCUACGUUGCGCCUCCUCGAUAUUUUAAGUCAUUUUUUUUACCCUUUUUUUGAGUGCUAAUGCAUGGAGAGGCGUCCUGGUGAGUCUGCGCGAGUGCUGAGUGGCGUUUCUCCCACUCUCUCUUCCUCCCAUGGUAAUCCCGCGCGCCUCCUCCCACGCACAGCAGCAUCGCCAAAGUGUCCGGGUGUCCGCCUUGUCGCGCCUCGCCUCGCCUCCCCCGCGCCUCGCCUUGUGUUCCGUGUUCCGUGUAAGGCAAUCAAAGCAGUUCCCGGAAUGAGGGCCGAGUCUCCACCACACCGAGCUCUCAGGGCAGAACACAGCGGCAGGCGACACACCCUCCCUCAACGACGGCCGCGGGAGCACUGGUGGUUGGCGAGGCAGGAGCUGAACUGUACCUCUCCCGGCUGAUUCGAGAGUGGCCGCAUGAGUGACGUCACCAGCCAAUCACCAGUCACCAAUCAGCCUGACCCCGUGACCUCCAAUAGGAGACGAGCACUGAUGGAGAGCUGGCCAAUCAGGAGGAAAAGAGGAAGAGGAAAAGGAAGAGGAAGAAGAGGAGGAGAAUGAUAGAGGAGGAG
rnacentral:lncRNA from 1 species